UGCAUUCACUACUGUAAGUCGCUCUGGAUAAGAGCGUCUGCUAAAUGACAUAAA
rfam:Salmo salar isolate Sally breed double haploid chromosome ssa27, whole genome shotgun sequence.